CCCUUAGAUGUUCUGGGCCGCACGCGCGCUACACUGAUGCAUUCAACGAGCCUAGCCUUGACCGAGAGGUCCGGGUAAUCUUUGAAACUGCAUCGUGAUGGGGCUAGAUUAUUGCAAUUAUUAAUCUUCAACGAGGAAUGCCUAGUAAGCGUGAUUCAUCAAAUCGCGUUGAUUACGUCCCUGCCCUUUGUACACACCGCCCGUCGCUCCUACCGAUUGAAUGGUUCAGUGAGAUAAUCGGACAGAAAACUUGGCAACCGGCAACAGUUGACGUGCAUUUUUGGAAGACGAUCAAACUUGGUCAUUUAGAGGAAGUAAAAGUCGUAACA
rnacentral:rRNA from 1 species